rnacentral:rRNA from 1 species
UUAACACAUGCAAGUCGAACGGUAACAUGAGUGCUUGCACUUGAUGACGAGUGGCGGACGGGAGAGUAAGGUAUGGGGAUCUGCCAAAUGGAGGGGGACAACAGUUGGAAACGACUGCUAAUACCGCAUAAAGUUGAGAGACCAAAGUACGGUUCCGCAAGGACGUGCGCCAUUUGAUGAACCCAUAUGGGAUUAGCUAGUUGGUGUGGUAAAGGCUCACCAAGGCGACGAUCUCUAGCUGGUCUGAGAGGAUGACCAGCCACACUGGAACUGAGACACGGUCCAGACUCCUACGGGAGGCAGCAGUGGGGAAUAUUGCACAAUGGGGGGAACCCUGAUGCAGCCAUGCCGCGUGUAUGAAGAAGGCCUUCGGGUUGUAAAGUACUUUCGGUAGUGAGGAAGUUGUGUGUAUGAAAAGUGCAUGCAAUUGACGUUAGCUACAGAAGAAGCACCGGCUAACUCCGUGCCAGCAGCCGCGGUAAUACGGAGGGUGCGAGCGUUAAUCGGAAUGACUGGGCGUAAAGGGCAUGUAGGCGGAUAAUUAAGUUAGGUGUGAAAGCCCCGGGCUCAACCUGGGAAUUGCACUUAAAACUGGUUAUCUGGAGUAUUGUAGAGGAAGGUAGAAUUCCACGUGUAGCGGUGAAAUGCGUAGAGAUGUGGAGGAAUACCGGUGGCGAAGGCGGCCUUCUGGACAGAUACUGACGCUGAGAUGCGAAAGCGUGGGGAGCAAACAGGAUUAGAUACCCUGGUAGUCCACGCUGUAAACGAUGUCGAUUUGGAGUUUGUUGCCCUGAGUGAUGGGCUCCGAAGCUAACGCGAUAAAUCGACCGCCUGGGGAGUACGGCCGCAAGGUUAAAACUCAAAUGAAUUGACGGGGGCCCGCACAAGCG